ensembl:lncRNA
UCCUUACAGAACUGCCAGCUCUGUUCUGUGCCCAUGCCCUUAAGGACAGUUUCCCAGGGGAUCCCACUCAGCAGUUCCUUGAGUAGCUGGAAUAUUGCUCUCCUAAAGCACAGGGUCCUAGCUCUGCUUUUUGCCAGGCCCGCAUUCUUCAAGAUCACAAGCUCCACCAAGGCAUGGACACUACAGCCCAGGCUGCCUCCAAUCUUAACCUCUCUAAUGCUCUCGUCUGCAUUAAUGAGCACCAGGUCCGGUAAGGCUUCACCUCUGGUUGGUCUAUCUAUUAACUGGACCAGGAAUAUGUCCUCUGUAGAUUCCAGGAAUCUCCUGGAUUGUCUGCCACCCACCAUACCACUAUCCCAGCAGAUAUCCGGAUGGUUGAAAUCCCCUAUCAGGACAAGAGCCCGCAAGCAUGACACCUCCUGCAGCUGAAGCAAGAAGGCCUCAUCAACAGGCUCCCCCUUAUCAGGCAGCCUAUAGCAGACCCCAACCACUAGAUGCCCUUUACUGGACAGAUCCUUGAUUUUUACCCACAAGCUUUCAACCUGAUUGUGGCUGUUCCUCAGACACAGCUCUUUGCAAUCUACCCACUUCCUAAGACAGAGGGCAACUCCACUAUCCCUCCUAUCCUGCCUAUCCCUUCUGAAAAGCCUGUAGUCCUCAAUCAGGGUAUUCCAAUCGUGGGAUUCAUCCCACCAUGUUUCCGUGCCAUGGUUUCUAGCUCCUCCUGUUUAUUUCCCAUGCUGUGCGCAUUGGUAUAGAGGAGAACACAACUUGCACUCCCGAUCCCUUCAGAAGUCUUCCCAAACUCCUGAAGUCCCUUUUGAUCACCUGAGAACUUCUUUUGCCUACCUCUUCAUUUCCAAUGUGGAAAACUAGUAAAGGAUAAUAAUUGGAGGGCUUAACCUGGUGAGUGAUGUUCCUAGUGACAUCUCUCACCUGGGCACCAGGCAGGCAACACACCUAUCUGUGUAAUGGGUCCAAGCGGCAUAUCAGGCCCUCAGUUUCACUCAAAAGGGAGUCCCCUAUGAUGACAGCCCUUCUUUUUUUCCUGACUGACACUGUAGCAAAACGGGGAGCAGACUGACUAGCCUUGGGCUACCUCUCCUGCACAGAUGGACUGUCACCAACAUCCACAUCCCCCAGUUCCUCCAGCUCCGGAGCCUCAUACCUGUUAUGUAAGGGCACCUGGGAAGGUGGGAGAGGCUGAGGGGCAAACCGCUUGUUUGCUCCAUUGAGAGCCCUUGUCUCCUUGUAGGCGGAAACCCUUCAUAAUCC